UACGGAAGGCAGCAGUGGGGAAUAUUGCACAAUGGGCGCAAGCCUGAUGCAGCCAUGCCGCGUGUAUGAAGAAGGCCUUCGGGUUGUAAAGUACUUUCAGUCGUGAGGAAGGUGUUAAGGUUAAUAACCUUAGCAAUUGACGUUAGCGACAGAAGAAGCACCGGCUAACUCCGUGCCAGCAGCCGCGGUAAUACGGAGGGUGCGAGCGUUAAUCGGAAUUACUGGGCGUAAAGGGCACGCAGGCGGUUAAUUAAGUUGGAUGUGAAAUCCCCGGGCUUAACCUGGGAAUGGCAUUCAAGACUGGUUAGCUAGAGUCUUGUAGAGGGGGUAGAAUUCCAUGUGUAGCGGUGAAAUGCGUAGAGAUGUGGAGGAAUACCGGUGGCGAAAGGCGGCCCCUGGACAAAGGACUGACGCUCAUGUGCGAAAGCUGGGGAGCAAACAGGAUUAGAUA
rnacentral:rRNA from 1 species